UGAUUUUAACUGUAUUGGUGUUUAGAUUGGCUGCAGUAAUGCUGGAGCGGCCUAAGUCAGAGGAGUGCGUUGCCAUGGAGACGAUGCUGUAGAGAGAGAAGUGGGAGGAGCUUAGAGGGGAGAGUUUGAAAAACGACAGUUUAUGUUCAGUUAGGGUUUUGGAGUCGGAGUUAGCAGUUGAGAGAGAGAGAGUGGGAAGUAGAGAAGCAGUGUUUGUGAAUAGUCAGAGGUUUCUUCAGUUUAGGAAGGCUGAAGGGGAAACCUAAUUAGUUUCAUUAGUUAGAGAGGACUAAGAGAAGCUUGUUUAGAUCACUAGUUAGAAAUGAACUAGAGAUCUGGGGUUUGAUCACGGAAGGAUCAAACAGGAAGGCUAUUCACCUCAGGAAACAUUGUUUAAGAAAGUGCUUCACCACAGUAAAAGUCAAUUACAAGUUGUAACAUCCAGAAGUGUGAACUGUAUUGCAACCAAGUUACAUGUAAAGUUCUCAAAGUAUUUCCAAGUUUAUCAACAGCCUGCAACCAUACGCUUUGUUCAAAAUAAACUUGUUCUCUUUUGUUUGAA